UUUUCAAGGAGCAUGGGCCUCUGGAACCCUAGCAGGAGGAGACCCUUCAACCAUCAUAGACACUUGAGUUGGCAGGGAGAGGUUCCUAGAGAAGUGGUAGGGGCAGCAAGCCAGCUGAUGUGGAUCCCAGAGGGUUUGGUGUAGGAGCAUAUGUAGUGGAGCAUGGCCAGGGACAGCCAUUUCCUUAGGCUCGACUUGCUCUCUUAGGAGACUUAAGCCCUGGGGGAACUGUUCAUCCUGAACUCUGCAGGGUGGACUUGCCCCAGCUCAGAUAGGGCCAGUUCAACUUGAGCUCCUCUUGGUCUGCUGCCCUCUCCUGGGGCCCCAGCCUGGCCAUGCCUGCUUAAAGAACAGCCUCAGGUGCCCUGGGAGCAACAUCAUAGCGUGUGUGCUAGUGGACCAUGCCUGACUUGCAGAGAGCUCCAGAAGUGUGGCCCCAAUAACUAUACACUAGCCUGCACACUCCCUCCACACACCGCAGCUACCCCUGGACCCAUGGCAACUCCCCACAUCUUUUUCCUGAUACAUGUCUAUGUGGGCAGGUUUUGCUUUCCUUGCCCCACCAGCACAUGGGAGUGUAAUCCACUCCCCUCCAGUAGCUGACCGCCAUUGCAGACAGAGCCUUGGUGGGAAUACAGCCAGCCAGUCCCACCCUGCCAGCACUCCACUGUUGCACUAAUACUUCCAUGGGAGCAAAACUAGGCUCAUAGAACAGCAGAUCCUCCUCUACACUGAGCUACCACAGAGAAGGCACACAGACCUGUGCCUACCAGUGCCCCUCCCCCAAGCCAGCACCGCCACCUGCACGACCACCCACAUAGUCACCAGUAGGGGCCCCCUACACCCAUCCAAGAUGAGCUGCCUCUGCCACUGUGGUUAAUUCCCACAGGAAGGCAGGCACCCCAGCAGCCACUAGCACCCUGCCACAGCUGCCGCUACUGCUGUUGCUAGCAUGUGAAUGAGGACAGAUCCCUCUGUCACUGCAGUAUGAAACACUUUGGCUGACACUACCCAUUGGAAUGUAGUGACCAGUAGUCCAGAAGUACCUGGUGCUCCCAGCACAGUGGAUUUCUAACCUCAUGGAGUAAGAGAACAAUGUCAGGGCCCAAUACAAAUCCCCAGAGUUAGAGCAUACAGUCCAGAAGUCAGGAGCUGAGCAUUGGUCCCCUAAUGUCUUUCAGAAAUGAAGCCAGUUAGCUAAAUCUACCCUAUAUGAUAAUCAAACCCUCAAGGUCAUCAAAUAGGAUAAAAGAGAACAAAAGCCAUUGAAAGGUCAGCAGCCUCAAAGAUUGAAGGUGGAUAAACCCACAAAGAUGAGAAUCAGCGCAAGAAUCCUGACAACUCAAAAAGCCACAGUGCCUUUUUUCCUCUAAUCUACCACAUCACCUAUACAGAAAGGGUUCAGAACUGGACUAAGAUGGCUACAAAUGACAGAAAUAGAAAUCAGAAUAUGCGUGAAAACAAAGAUCAUUGAGCUACAGGAGUAUGUUGAAACCCAUCCAAGGAACCUAAGAACGAUGAUAAAACAAUGCAGGAGCUGCCUGGCAAAAAUAGCCAGUAUAGAAAAAAACCAACUGACCUGAUAGAACUGGAAAACACACUACAAUAAUUUUAUAAUGCAAUCACAAGUAUUAAAAGCAGAAUAGACCAAGUGGAGGAAAGAAUCUCAGAGUUUGAAGACUGGAUUUCUGAAACAAGACAAUCAGACAAGAAUAGAAAUAAAAGAAUGAAAAGGAAUGAACAAAACCUCCAAGAAAUAUGGGAUUAUGUAAAGAGACCAAAUCUAUGACUCAUAGGCAUCCCUGAAAGACACGGGGAGAAGGGAGGCAACUUGGAAAACAUAUUUCAGAAUAUCAUCCAUGAGAACUUACCCAACCUAGCUUGAGAGGGUAACAUUCAAAUUCAGGAAAUGUAGAGAACCCUAGUUAGAUACAUUACAGGAAGAUCAUCCGCAAGACACAUAAUUAUCAGAUUUUACAAGGUCAAAAUGAAACAAAAAAUUUUAAAGGCAUCUAGAGAGAAAGGUGAGGUCAUCUACAAAGGCAAGAUCAUUAGACUAAGAGCAGACCUCUCAGCAGAAACCCUACAAGCCAGAAGCGAUUGGAGGCCAAUGGUCAACAUUCUUAAAAGAAAUUCCAAGCCAGAAUUUAAUAUCCAGCCAAACCAAGCUUCAUAAGUGAAGGAGAAAUAAGAUCAUUUUCAGGCAAGCAAAUGCUGAGGAAUUUCAUUACUACCAGACCUGCCUAACAAGAGCUCCUGAAGGUAGCACUAAAUAUGGAAAGGAAAGAUCAUUAUCAUCCACUACAAAAACACACUGAAGUACACAGACCAGUGACACUAUAAAGCAACCACAUAAACAAGUCUGCAAAAUAACCAGCUGACAUGAUGACAGGAUCAAAUCCAUACAUAUCAAUACCAACCUUGAAUGUAAAUGGGCUAAAUGCCUCAAUUAAAAGGCACAACCUUAGCAAACUAAUGCAGGAACAGAAAACCAAAUACUACAUGUUCUCACUUACAAGUGGGAGCUAAAUGGUAAGAACUUAUGAGCACAAAGAGGGAAACAACAGACACUGGGAUCUACUUGAAAGGAGAGGGAGGGAGGAGGGAGAGGAGCAAAAAGAUAACUACUGGAUACUGGGCUUAAUACCUGGGUAAUGAAAUAAUAUGUACAACAAACCCCUGUGACACGCAUUUACCUAUGUAAGAAACCUUCACAUGUACCUCAAAACUAAAAUAAAAGUUAAAAAACAAAAAAAGACACAGAAUGACAAACUGAAUAAAGAACCAAAACCCAUUGGUAUGCUGUCUUUAAGAGUCCUAUCUCAUGUGCAGUGACACACAUGGACUCAUAAUAAAAGGGUGUGGAGGAAGAUUUACCAAGCAAAUGGAAAACAGAAAAAAAGCAGGAUUUACAAUCCUAGUUUCUGACAAAGGCAAAAAAGAGCAAAAAAAAAAAAAUGGCAUUACAUAAUGGUAAAAGGUUCAAUUCAGUUCAACAAGAAGAUGUAACUAUCCUAAAUAUAUAUGUACCCAACACAGGAGCACGCAGAUUCGUAAAGCAAGUUUUUAGAGACCUUCAAAGAGACAUAGACUCCCAUACAAUAAUAGUGGAAGUCUUUAACACCACACUGAAAAUAUUAGACCAAUCAUCAAGACAGAAAAUUAACAAAGAUAUUCAGGACCUGAACCCAGCACUGGAUCAAAUGGACCUGAUAGACAUCUAUAUAACUCUCCACACAAACACAACAGAAUGUACAUUCUUCUCAUCACCAUAUGGCACAUAUUCUAAAAUCAAUCACGUAAUCAGAAGUAAAACACUCCUCAGCAAAUGCAAAAGAACUGAAAUCAUAAUAGUCUCUCAAACCACAGCACAAUCAAAUUAGAAGCCAAAACAGAAAUUUGCUCAAAACCAUACAAUUACAUGGAAGUUGAAUAACCUACUCCUGAGUGAUGUUUGGGUAAAUAAUGAAAUUAAGGCAGAAAUCAACAAGUUCUUUGAAACUAAUGAGAACAAAGAUACAAAAUACUAGAAUCUCUGGGACACAGCUAAGGCAGUGUUAAGAGGGAAUUUAUAGCACUAAGUGCUCACAUCAAAUAGUUAGAAAGAUCUCAAGUUAACAACCUAACAUCACAACUAAGAGGACUAUAGAACCAAGAGCAAACAAAUUCCAAAGCUAGCAAAAGACAAGAAAUAACCAAAAUCAAAGCUGAACUUAGGGAGAUUCAGACACACAAAAAAAUCCAGAAGAUCAAACAACCCAGAAGCUGGUUUUUUGGAAAAAUUAAUAAAAUAGACCAUUAGCUAGACUAAUAAGAAAAGAGAGAAGAUUCAAAUAAACACAAUCAGAAAUGACAAGGAGGAUGUUACCACUGACUCCACAGAAAUACAAACAACCAUCCAAUAAUAUUAUGAACACCUCUAUGCACAUAAACUAGAAUAUCUAGAAGAAAUGGAUGAAUUUCGAGACACAUACACCCUCCUAAGGCUAAACCAGGAGGAAAUUAAAUUACUGAGCAGACCAGUAAUGAGUUCUGAAAUUCAGGCAGUAAUAAAUAGCCUAUGAACCAAAAAAGCCCAGGACCGGAUAAGUUCACAGCCAAAUUCUACCAAAUAUACGAAGAGCUGGUACCACUUCUACUGAAACUAUUCCAAAAAAAAAAAGCUUAGGUAUUCCUAAGCAAAAAGAAGAAAGCUGGAGACAUCACACUGCCCAACUUCAAACUAUACUUCAGGGCUACAGUAACCAAAACAGCAUGGUACUGGUACAAAAACAGGCACAUAGACCAAUGCAACAGACCAUAAAACUCAUUUUAUGAGGCCAACAUCAUCCUGAUACCAAAACCUAACAAAGAUACAACAGAAAAGAAAACUUCAGGCCAAUAUCCCUGAUGAACAUAGAGACAAAAAUCCUCAACAAGAUACUGGCAAACAAAAUCCAGCAGCACAUCAAAAAUCUUAUCUACCACAAUCAAAUAGGUUUUAGCCCUGGGAUGCAAGGUUGGUUCAUCACAUGCAAAUCAAUAAAUGUGAUUCAUCACAUAAACAGAACUAAAGACAAAAACUACAUGAUUAUCUGAAAUGAUGCAGAAAAGGCUUUCAUUAAAAUUUAACACCCUUCAUGUUAAAAAGUCUCAAUAAACUAGGUAUUGAAGGAACAUACUUCAAAAUAAUAAGAGCCAUCUAUGAAAAACCCACAGCCAGCAUCAUGUGGAAUGUGCAAAAGCUGGAAACAUUCUCCCUGAAAACUGGCACAAGACAAGGAUGCCCUUUCUCGCCACUCCUAUUUGAUAUAGUAUUGGAAAUCCUGACCAGGGCAAUCGGGCAAGAGGAAGAAAUGUAAUCCAAACACGAAGAGAGGAAGUCAAACUAUCCCUAUUUGCAGAUGACAGGAUUCUAUAUCUAUAAAACUCCAUAGUCUUGUCAUAAAAGCUUCUUAAGCUGACAAACAACUUCAGCAAAUUCUCAGGAUACAAAAUCAAUGUGUAAAAAUUACUAGCACUCCUAUAUACACAAAAAAAAGUCAAGCCAAGAGCCAAAUGAGUAAUGCAAUCCCAUUCCCAGUGGCAAUAAAUAAAUAAACAAACACACAAACUACCUAGGAAUACAGCUAACUAGGAAGGUGAAAGAUCUCUCUACAAGAAGUACAAAAUACCGUUCAAAGAAAUCGAAGAUUACACAAACAAAUGGAAAAAUGUCCCAUGCUCAUGGAUAGAAAGCAUCAAUAUUGUAAAAAUGGUCAUACUGCCCAGAGCAAUUUAUACAUCUAAUGCUAUUCCUAUUAAACUACCAUUGAGAUUCAUCACAGAACUAGAAAAAAACUAUUUUAAAAUUCAUGUGGAACCAAAAAAGAGUCCAGAUAGCCAAGGUAAUCCUAAGCAAAGAUAAGAAAGCUGGAGACAUCAUACUGCCUGACUUCAAACUAUACUGCAGGGCUACAGUAACCAAAACAGCAUGCUACUGAUACAAAAACAGGCACAUAGACCAUUGCAACAGAAUAGAGAACCCAGAAAUAAAGCCACACACCUACAACUAUCUGAUCCUCGACAAACAGAACUCAAGCAAUGGGGAAAGGACUCCUAUUCAAUAAAUGGUGCUGAGAUAACUGGCUAGCCAUGUGCAGAAGAUUAACAAACAUUAAGAUGAAUUAAAAACUUAAAUGUAAAACCCCAAAGUAUAAAAACCCUGGAAGACAACCUAGGCAAUACCAUUCUGGACAUAGGAGUGGGCAAAGAUUUUAUUAAGAAGAUACCAAAAGCAAUUGCAACAAAAGCAAACAUUGAUAAAUGGGAUCUAAUUAAACUAAAGAGCUCCUGCACAGCGAAAGAAACUAUCAACAGGGCGCACAGACAACAUACAAAAUGGGAGAACAUUUUUGCAAACUGCAUCUGACAAAGGUCAAAUAUCCAGCAUCUAUAAGGAACUUAAAUUUACAAGAAAAAUCAAACCUCAUUGAAAAAUGGGCAAAGCACAUGAACACUUUUCAAAAGAAGACAUACAUGUGGCCAACAAGCAUAUGAAAAAAAGCUCAACUUAAUUAGAGAAAUGCAAAUCAAAACCACAAUGAGAUACCAUCUCACACCAGUCAGAAUGGCUGUUAAAACAUCAAAAAAAAACAGCUGCUGAUAUGGUUGCAGAGAAAAGGGAAUGCUUUUAUACUGCUGGUGGGAACGGAAAUUAGCUCAGCCACUAGUGGAAAGCAGUUUGGAUUCUUUUUUUUUUUCUUUUUGAGACAGAGUCUCACUCUGUCGCCCAGGCUGGAGUGCAGUGGCGUGAUCUCAGCUCACUGCAAGCUCCACCUCCCAGGUUCACGCCAUUCUCCUGCCUCAGCCUCCCACGUAGCUGGGACUACAGGUACCUGCCACCAUGCCCGGCUAAUUUUUUUUAUUUUUUUAGUAGAGAUGGGGUUUCACCACGUUAGCCAGGAUGGUCUCGAUCUCCUGACCUCGUGAUCCGCCUGCCUCGGCCUCCCAAAGUACUGGGAUUACAGGCGUGAGCCACCGCGCCCGGCUUGGAUCUCAAAGAACUCAAAACAGGAGUGCCAUUUAACCCAGCAAUCCCAUCACUGGAUAUAUAACGAAGUAAUAGAAAUCAUUCUACCAUAAAGACACUUGCACUCACAUGUUCAUUGGAACACUUAUUCACAAUGACAAAGACAUAGAUCAACCUAGAUGCCCAUCAACAGUGGACUGGAUAAAGAAAAUAUGGUACAUAUAUACCAUGGAAUACUAUGCAUCCAUUAAAAAGAACAAGAUCAUGUCCCUUGCAGGAACAUAGAUGGAGCCAGAGGUGAUUAUCCUUAGCAAACUAACAGAGAAACAGAAAAGUAAAUACUCCAUGUUCUCACUUAUAAGUGGGAGCUAAAUGAUGAGAACACAUGGACAUGUAGAGGGAAACUACACACACUGGGGCCUAUCAAUGGGUGGAGGUUGGGAGGAGGGAGAGGAUCAGGAAAAAUAACUAAUGCGUACCAGGCUUAAUACUUGGGUUGAAAAUAAUCUGUACAACAAACCCCAAUGACACAAGCUUACCUAUAUAACAAACCUGUACAUGUACCCCGACCUUAAAAGUUAAGUAAAAAGUAAAUUCAAAAAAAUUUAAAAAGAAAAUAUGGCACAAAAUGUAGUAGAGAAAAGAACUAAAAUUCAUGUAAUUUGAAUUCCAGAGAGAACAGGAAAGACAGAAAUAAUAUUUGAAGAGACAAUAGCUGAAAAAUUUCAAAAGUAGCAAAAGAUCUGUGGAUUAAAGAAACACCAUGCAUCACAAGCAUGAUAAUGCAAAAACAUCUACAAAAUCAAAAUCAAAGAAAAAUUCUCACAACAGAGAUUAUCCUCAAAGGAAUAGCAGUAAGAUAACUGACUUCAACAGAUGUGAUAGAAAUCGAGAGACAUGGAAUAUCUUCAAAGUGCUGAAAAGAAAAGAAACGAAAACUGUCAACUAAGAAUUGUGUGCUCAGUGAAAUGUUCUUCAAGGAGGGUUAAAUAAGUACAUUUUCAGAUGAAAACUGAGAAAAUUACCAUUGACAGAAUUAAUCCAAAUCCCAAAAAUGAGGGAAAAAUCAUCCUAGAAUAAAGUUUGGAAUUAUGGAAAGGGUAAAUAUGGGAGAAAAUCUAAUGAAUAUAAACUUUUAAAAAUAAUGAUAAUUGCGUUAAAAUGUUUGAGGAGACUUGAAAUAUCAGCCAGCAAUACCAUACAUUUAGGAAGAGUGUAAAUGGAGUUGAAAUAUUCUCAGGUGCUUACAUUAUCCAUUAGAAAUAGGAUACUAAUUUAUAGUAGAGGGUGGCAAUUCUCAGAGGCAUGUUACGAUGUCUGGGCUGGGCACUACAGUAAACUAAAUUUAGAUUCUAUCACUUCCAAGCUAAUGGAGUGGGAAAGUGGAAUAAUAAAAUGUAAUUAAUUCCAGUUAAUAAGCAAAGAGAAUAGGAACAAAAAGAGAGGUGUUUUGUUUUGUUUUUUCAAAGGCAAGGCAAAUAGGAAAUACUAAGGUAAUAGAUAUAAACCCAGAUACCUUAGUAAUUGCAUUAAAUUUUGCUGUAUUACAUACUGUAAUUUUAAGACAGUGAUUUACCAGAGAUUAACUAAAUGAACCCACAAUUACAUGCUUUUAACCAAGGAGAUUUGUAAAAUACAAGAGUACAGAAUGGGUGAAAAUAAAAGGAUAGAAAAUAUGUAUACCAUGGAAGUGCUAACUGAAAACAUGCUGGUAAUAUCAGACAUAGUAGAAUUUAAUGUGAAACAUAUGAUUACGGAUUAAAAGGCGGUUUUCAUAAUGUUACAAAAUUAUAUUUGCCCAAAAUAUAUGACAGUUCUAAAUGUGUAAGCACUCAAUAACAAAGACUCAGAAUAUAAAAUGUGAUAGCACUGAAUGGCAGAACAGACAAAUGCACCAUUAUAAUAGGAAAUAUGAGCAGGUUGCUCUCAGUAAAUAAAAUAGCAACCAGAAAAAAAAAA